CAGUAGCCACGGUAAUACGUAGGGUGCGAGCGUUGUCCGGAAUUACUGGGCGUAAAGAGCUCGUAGGCGGUUUGUCGCGUCGUCUGUGAAAUUCUGCAGCUUAACUGUAGGCGUGCAGGCGAUACGGGCAGACUUGAGUACUACAGGGGAGACUGGAAUUCCUGGUGUAGCGGUGAAAUGCGCAGAUAUCAGGAGGAACACCGGUGGCGAAGGCGGGUCUCUGGGUAGUAACUGACGCUGAGGAGCGAAAGCGUGGGUAGCGAACAGGAUUAGAUACCCCUGUAGUCCCUGUCUCUUAUAC
rnacentral:rRNA from 1 species